AACGAACGCUGGCGGCAUGCCUAACACAUGCAAGUCGAACGAGACCUUCGGGUCUAGUGGCGCACGGGUGCGUAACGCGUGGGAACCUGCCCUUAGGUUCGGAAUAACUCAGAGAAAUUUGAGCUAAUACCGGAUAAUGUCUUCGGACCAAAGAGUUAUCGCCGUUGGAUGGGCCCGCGUAGGAUUAGCUUGUUGGUGGGGUAAUGGCCUACCAAGGCGACGAUCCUUAGCUGGUCGGAGAGGAUGAUCAGCCACACUGGGACUGAGACACGGCCCAGACUCCUACGGAGAGCAGCAGUGGGGAAUAUUGGACGAUGGGCGAAAGCCUGAUCCAGCAAUGCCGCGUGAGUGAUGAAGGCCUUAGGGUUGUAAAGCUCUUUUACCAGGGAUGAUAAUGACAGUACCUGGAGAAUAAGCGCCGGCUAACUACGUG
rnacentral:rRNA from 1 species